rnacentral:tRNA from 1 species
CCGGAUGUAGCUUAGUUUGGUAAAGCACUCGCUUUGGGAGCGAGGGAGCGGGAGUUCAAAUCUCUCCAUCCGGAC